AUCCUUUUCGUCAACACCCCUAGCCAAAAGAACUUUGAUUGAAAUUUCAAGAGCAACAAUAAUUUACUUUUACAUCCUGACUUUGAACCAAAACGUGAGAACCAAAAGAAUUCAAAAAGGUCUCUUUCCAAGACAUAAAAAAAAAUCAAAAACGUUUUCUUCUUUAUAUUUCAAACCAAGAAACAUUGGAGCAAAGUUUUAUAUUUAAAUCCAUUCAUCAGUUCAAAAACGUGAAGAUGCAGAAUUAUUUCAAAGCAAGGUUUCGUUCAAAUUCAGAAGCUGAAGCUUCAUUUUCUCGCUCCAACAUAUUUCACGGAAGCAGAAGCUUCACUUCGAUCAAAUAAUUCCAGGAACAGGUUUAAAAACCAAAGACACAAAUAUUUGGAAAGAAUUGAUCUGAUUGGGAUGAAGCUUGAACGUUUGGAUGAAGCUUGAAUUGUUGAACGAAAAAUCGUUCUGCUUUUCUCACGUCUUGGUGUAGUUAGCUCCCAGCGUUAUUUGUUCUUAUUGUUGAAAAGAGAUAAGACUUUAAAUGCAAAGUUUGGAAUUU